rnacentral:rRNA from 1 species
UCCGUAGGUAGAUUAAUAAGUCAGAGGUGAAAUCCUGCAGCUCAACUGUAGAACUGCCUUUGAAACUGUUAAUCUUGAGUCAUUAUGAAGUGGUUAGAAUGUGUAGUGUAGCGGUGAAAUGCAUAGAUAUUACACAGAAUACCGAUUGCGAAGGCAGAUCACUAAUAAUGUACUGACACUGAGGGACGAAAGCGUGGGGAGCGAACAGGAUUAGAUACCCUGGUAGUCC